rnacentral:rRNA from 1 species
GAUGAACGCUGGCGGCGUGCCUAGUACAUGCAAGUCGAGCGAACAGACGAGGAGCUUGCUCCUCUGACGUUAGCGGCGGACGGGUGAGUAACACGUGGAUAACCUACCUAUAAGACUGGGAUAACUUCGGGAAACCGGAGCUAAUACCGGAUAAUAUAUUGAACCGCGUGGUUCAAUAGUGAAAGACGGUUUUGCUGUCACUUAUAGAUGGAUCCGCGCCGCAUUAGCUAGUUGGUAAGGUAACGGCUUACCAAGGCAACGAUGCGUAGCCGACCUGAGAGGGUGAUCGGCCACACUGGAACUGAGACACGGUCCAGACUCCUACGGGAGGCAGCAGUAGGGAAUCUUCCGCAAUGGGCGAAAGCCUGACGGAGCAACGCCGCGUGAGUGAUGAAGGUCUUCGGAUCGUAAAACUCUGUUAUUAGGGAAGAACAAAUGUGUAAGUAACUAUGCACGUCUUGACGGUACCUAAUCAGAAAGCCACGGCUAACUACGUG